CGCACGCAGGCGGUCUGUCAAGUCGGAUGUGAAAUCCCCGGGCUCAACCUGGGAAAUGCAUUAGAAACUGGCAGGCUAGAGUCUUGUAGAGGGGGGUAGAAUUCCAGGUGUAGCGGUGAAAUGCGUAGAGCUCUGGAGGAAUACCGGUGGCGAAGGCGGCCCCCCGGACAAAGACUUACCCUCAGGUGCGAAAGCGUGGGGAGCAAACAGGAUUAGAUACCCUGGUAGUCCACGCCGUAAACGAUGUCGAUUUGGAGGUUGUGCCCUUGAGGCGUGGCUUCCGGAGCUAACGCGUUAAAUCGACCGCCUGGGGAGUACGGCCGCAAGGUUAAAACUCAAAUGAAUUGACGGGGGCCCGCACAAGCGGUGGAGCAUGUGGUUUAAUUCGAUGCAACGCGAAGAACCUUACCUGGUCUUGACUUCCACAGAACUUAGCAGAGAUGCUUUGGUGCCUUCGGGAACUGUGAGACAGGUGCUGCA
rnacentral:rRNA from 1 species